rnacentral:rRNA from 1 species
UUCGUAGGGGGCAAGCGUUGUCCGGAAUCAUUGGGCGUAAAGCGCGUGUAGGCGGCCCGGUAAGUCCGCUGUGAAAGUCCAGGGCUCAACCCUGGGAUGCCGGUGGAUACUGUCGGGCUCGAGUCCGGAAGAGGAGUGUGGAAUUCCUGGUGUAGCGGUGAAAUGCGCAGAUAUCAGGAGGAACACCAAUGGCGAAGGCAGCACUCUGGGACGUGACUGACGCUGAGACGCGAAAGCGUGGGGAGCAAACAGG